rnacentral:rRNA from 1 species
UGUGCGUUGGUGAACCAGCGGAGGGAUCAUUA